UACAGAGGGUGCAAGCGUUAAUCGGAAUUACUGGGCGUAAAGCGCGCGUAGGUGGUUUGUUAAGUUGGAUGUGAAAUCCCCGGGCUCAACCUGGGAACUGCAUUCAAAACUGACAAGCUAGAGUAUGGUAGAGGGUGGUGGAAUUUCCUGUGUAGCGGUGAAAUGCGUAGAUAUUGGGAAGAACACCGGUGGCGAAGGCGGCUAUCUGGACCGACAUUGACGCUGAGGCGCGAAAGCGUGGGGAGCAAACAGGAUUAGAAACCCCUGUAGU
rnacentral:rRNA from 1 species